rnacentral:rRNA from 1 species
CCCCCCCCCCUCGCCAAGGAACUACGAGCAAUGCUUAAAACCUAAAGGACUUGACGGUACCCCAUAUUCACCUAGAGGAGCCUGUCCUAUAACCGAUACUCCCCGUUCAACCUCACCACUCCUAGCCUUUCAGCCUGUAUACCUCCGUCCCAGCUUACCAUGUGAAUGAACCAGUAAGCUUAAUCGCCACCCACCAAUACAUCAGGUCGAGGUGCAGCAAAUGAAGUGGGAAGAGAUGGGCUACACUCUCUACCUUAGAAAAUACGAAAGGACAAUAUGCAACCUAACCAGAAGGUGGAUUUAGUAGUAAAAAGAAGAUAGAGCAUUCUUUUUAACUCGACACUGGGGUGUGUACACACCGCCCGUCACCCUCUUCAAAUUAUUAACAAUAGUACUUAACAAGACUUUUUCUUAAAGAAGAGGCAAGUCGUAACAUGGUAAGCGCACCGGAAGGUGUGCUUGGUAA